rnacentral:lncRNA from 1 species
AGCUUUUUGUUAUCUUGGAAAAUUCGAACUAUGAUGUAUACUGUAAUGGUGAAACAUAUGUAUAGAAUAUAAAAUGCCAGUAUUGAUUAAGCGCUUGCAUAAAUUAGUUGUUUAAAAUGGACUCAUUUAAGCGUCUGUUUGGAAGUGAUCAACGCAAAAGAGGAUACACAGAAGUUUUUUACUGCAAUUAUUGCAGUUCUGAUACUCAUUACGAAACGAACUGUCACAAAAAACGCG